GUGCCCGCCCCCGCGGUAAUACGGAGGGUGCAAGCGUUAAUCGGAAUUACUGGGCGUAAAGCGCACGCAGGCGGUCUGUCAAGUCGGAUGUGAAAUCCCCGGGCUCAACCUGGGAACUGCAUUCGAAACUGGCAGGCUAGAGUCUUGUAGAGGGGGGUAGAAUUCCAGGUGUAGCGGUGAAAUGCGUAGAGAUCUGGAGGAAUACCGGUGGCGAAGGCGGCCCCCUGGACAAAGACUGACGCUCAGGUGCGAAAGCGUGGGGAGCAAACAGGAUUAGAUACCCUGGUAGUCCACGCCGUAAACGAUGUCUACCUGGAGGUUGUGCCCUUGAGGCGUGGCUUCCGGAGCUAACGCGUUAAGUCGACCGCCUGGGGAGUACGGCCGCAAGGUUAAAACUCAAAUGAAUUGACGGGGGCCCGCACAAGCGGUGGAGCAUGUGGUUUAAUUCGAUGCACGCGAAGAACCUUACCUACUCCUGACAUCCAGAGAACUUAGCAGAGAUGCUUUUGGUGCCUUCUGGAACUCUGAACAGGUGCUGCAUGGCUGUCGUCAGCU
rnacentral:rRNA from 1 species